rnacentral:rRNA from 1 species
UACAGAGGGGGCUAGCGUUGUUCGGAAUUACUGGGCGUAAAGGGCGCGUAGGCGGCCCUCUAAGUCGAACGAUGAAACUCCCCGGGCUCAACCCGGGAACUGCGUCCGAUACUGGAGGGCGUCGAAUCCGGGGAGAGGGAUGUGGAAUUCCAGGUGAUAGCGGUGAAAUGCGUAGAUAUCCGGGAGGAAGGACCGGUGGCGAAGGCGCCUGCUGGGCAGUUACUGACACUGAGGCGCGACAGCAUGGGGGAGCCGAACAGG